rnacentral:rRNA from 1 species
ACUUAAAUUGAAGAGUUUGAUCAUGGCUCAGAUUGAACGCUGGCGGCAGGCCUAACACAUGCAAGUCGAGCGGUAGCACAGAGAGCUUGCUCUCGGGUGACGAGCGGCGGACGGGUGAGUAAUGUCUGGGAAACUGCCUGAUGGAGGGGGAUAACUACUGGAAACGGUAGCUAAUACCGCAUAAUGUCGCAAGACCAAAGUGGGGGACCUUCGGGCCUCAUGCCAUCAGAUGUGCCCAGAUGGGAUUAGCUAGUAGGUGGGGUAACGGCUCACCUAGGCGACGAUCCCUAGCUGGUCUGAGAGGAUGACCAGCCACACUGGAACUGAGACACGGUCCAGACUCCUACGGGAGGCAGCAGUGGGGAAUAUUGCACAAUGGGCGCAAGCCUGAUGCAGCCAUGCCGCGUGUGUGAAGAAGGCCUUCGGGUUGUAAAGCACUUUCAGCGGGGAGGAAGGCGGUGAGGUUAAUAACCUCACCGAUUGACGUUACCCGCAGAAGAAGCACCGGCUAACUCCGUGCCAGCAGCCGCGGUAAUACGGAGGGUGCAAGCGUUAAUCGGAAUUACUGGGCGUAAAGCGCACGCAGGCGGUCUGUCAAGUCGGAUGUGAAAUCCCCGGGCUCAACCUGGGAACUGCAUUCGAAACUGGCAGGCUAGAGUCUUGUAGAGGGGGGUAGAAUUCCAGGUGUAGCGGUGAAAUGCGUAGAGAUCUGGAGGAAUACCGGUGGCGAAGGCGGCCCCCUGGACAAAGACUGACGCUCAGGUGCGAAAGCGUGGGGAGCAAACAGGAUUAGAUACCCUGGUAGUCCACGCCGUAAACGAUGUCGAUUUGGAGGUUGUGCCCUUGAGGCGUGGCUUCCGGAGCUAACGCGUUAAAUCGACCGCCUGGGGAGUACGGCCGCAAGGUUAAAACUCAAAUGAAUUGACGGGGGCCCGCACAAGCGGUGGAGCAUGUGGUUUAAUUCGAUGCAACGCGAAGAACCUUACCUGGUCUUGACAUCCACAGAACUUUCCAGAGAUGGAUUGGUGCCUUCGGGAACUGUGAGACAGGUGCUGCAUGGCUGUCGUCAGCUCGUGUUGUGAAAUGUUGGGUUAAGUCCCGCAACGAGCGCAACCCUUAUCCUUUGUUGCCAGCGGUUCGGCCGGGAACUCAAAGGAGACUGCCAGUGAUAAACUGGAGGAAGGUGGGGAUGACGUCAAGUCAUCAUGGCCCUUACGACCAGGGCUACACACGUGCUACAAUGGCAUAUACAAAGAGAAGCGACCUCGCGAGAGCAAGCGGACCUCAUAAAGUAUGUCGUAGUCCGGAUUGGAGUCUGCAACUCGACUCCAUGAAGUCGGAAUCGCUAGUAAUCGUAGAUCAGAAUGCUACGGUGAAUACGUUCCCGGGCCUUGUACACACCGCCCGUCACACCAUGGGAGUGGGUUGCAAAAGAAGUAGGUAGCUUAACCUUCGGGAGGGCGCUUACCACUUUGUGAUUCAUGACUGGGGUGAAGUCGUAACAAGGUAACCGUAGGGGAACCUGCGGUUGGAUCACCUCCUUACCUUAAAGAA